rnacentral:rRNA from 1 species
AGUGAACGCUGGCGGCGUGCUUAACACAUGCAAGUCGAACGAGAACGGGUUAUAGCUUGCUAUAAUUGUCAGCUAAGUGGCGCACGGGUGAGUAAUGUAUAGGUAAUAUGCCUCUUACUAAGGGAUAACAAAUGGAAACGUUUGCUAAUACCUUAUACUCCUUAUUAACAGAAGUUAAUAAGGGAAAGAUUUAUUGGUAAGAGAUUAGCCUGUAUUGUAUCAGUUAGUUGGUGGGGUAAUGGCUUACCAGGACUAUGACACAUAACUGGUUGGAGAGGAUGAUCAGUCACACUGGAACUGAGACACGGUCCAGACUCCUACGGGAGGCAGCAGUGGGGAAUAUUGCACAAUGGACGAAAGUCUGAUGCAGCAACGCCGCGUGGAGGAUGACACAUUUCGGUGCGUAAACUCCUUUUAUAUGAGAAGAUAAUGACGGUAUUAUAUGAAUAAGCACCGGCUAACUCCGUGCCAGCAGCCGCCGUAA